rnacentral:rRNA from 1 species
GCGGAGGAAAAGAAACCACCAGGGAUUGCCUCAGUAGCGGCGAGUGAAGCGGCAAAAGCUCAAAUUUGAAAUCUGGCGUCUUUGGCGUCCGAGUUGUAAUUUGAAGAAGGUAUCUUUGGGCCCGGCUCUUGUCUAUGUUCCUUGGAACAGGACGUCACAGAGGGUGAGAAUCCCGUGCGAUGAGAUGACCCGGGUCUGUGUAAAGUUCCUUCGACGAGUCGAGUUGUUUGGGAAUGCAGCUCUAAGUGGGUGGUAAAUUCCAUCUAAAGCUAAAUAUUGGCGAGAGACCGAUAGCGAACAAGUACAGUGAUGGAAAGAUGAAAAGAACUUUGAAAAGAGAGUGAAAAAGUACGUGAAAUUGUUGAAAGGGAAGGGCUUGAGAUCAGACUUGGUAUUUUGCAUGUUGCUCUCUCGGGGGCGGCCGCUGCGGUUUACCGGGCCAGCAUCGGUUUGGAGCGGCAGGAUAAUGGCGGAGGAAUGUGGCACGGCUUCUGCUGUGUGUUAUAGCCUCUGACGAUACUGCCAGCCUAGACCGAGGACUGCGGUUUUUACCUAGGAUGUUGGCAUAAUGAUCUUAAGUCGCCCGUCUUG